rnacentral:lncRNA from 1 species
UGGAAAGACAAGGUCAGGCCGAAUUAGGUUUACACAAAAUGGCUCCCUCAUAUUCUCCAAUAUAUCCUAUUGCUUGCCAUUUUUAUUUGUCACUCUCCCGUCUUUUAAAGCAGUCGGUGUUGCAGGUGCUCAGCGUGAGGGAAUGACUGCCUCCACGUGGAGAGCGGCAAGCAGCAGGGAAGAUCAAAGCCCCUCACGGGCACCAGGCACCCGGCCCCUCAGCCUGGGCAGCUGCCCAGCCUAACGUGAGCAUAGCGAGCUGCCUUUCCUACCUGGAUGAACCAUAACCCAUGUUUCAGAUUCCAGCACUUUGGAGGGCUUCCAUCUCUCCACCAGGACGCGGAGCAGUCUUUUCCGACCUCGCUGCUUCGCCCUCCCUUUACGCUGACUUUAAGAGCUUCAAGUCACGGUGGUCAUGAGUGCUACACUGAAGGACACCACAUGUCACCAAUCCUAAACUAGUAAGCAAUUUCUGGUUAUUAAGGAGUUUUUGAGCAGAAGGAAACCUGUGGCACCAGAAGCCUUCCCGUCUGCAAGUCGUUCAGUGGAAGGAAGCAGGACAGGGAAAGAAGGCUCGACAGACAACUUCCCCGUUGGCCUUCCAGCCUUCCCUGGACCCAUGUGCAUGUCCAACCUGGCCUCUUCUCAGGGAACGUUCACUAUCCGCGCAACAGAAUAAGAAAUAAGACAGUUGAUGGAACUGUCCUCAUAGAACGCAAACUCUGCCAUCAUUUCAAGCACGCUGGAUGGAGAGGAUUAAGGGCAGGACCCAUAUUUCACACCUUUGCUUCCUGGGGAAUGAGGCUGCCUAAGAGAGAGGCAUGACCAGCUACUGCUCUUUUCCACAAGCUGCGUGUGCAAUUGUGUUAUCAUUCAACAGAAGUUCAAAGUAGGAAAAUAUCUUAUUACAGGUGGGGACACUCCAAGAAAUUUCUGGAUUGUUAGAGUGAACAGAAAUAUUCAGAAACGAGCCUGUUUACCUUAAAAUAUCUGAAUGCCAGAUGCAAAAUGUUUGAACAUAAGUCCCUCACUUAAUAAGCAGAGAUGAACACAGUCUUGUGGUCACUGACAAGAAAGGGGUGGAUUUAUUUGAUAAGAACUGCAGAUGAGUACUCUUCCUGGGUGAGAGAAGUUCGGAUGGACUGCAGACUCCAAACCAACAACAUAAGCGCCAUCAGAAGCCUUGUAAAUGGUAUCAACAAUACAAGAUGGGCUUUAAAAAAAUACCGAAUAGGCCUCCUAAAAGAAUAACGUUUUACCACCAAAUUCCCUCGGUCCAGGGCCGCAGGAGAAUGUGCCUCUACUAGAUGCCUGUAACAUUUCCCCCUUCGCUUCUCAGGCUGGAGAGGCUCCACAGCCAUCUCCAGUGACCGUCCCCUCCAGGCCUGAUGCUGCACACAGUCACCGAUUCUAACAGCUUUCUCUCUUUUAUCUUCCAUAAGGUUAAGGGUUUCCAAAAGCCAUUAGGACCCAAGAGAGUAAAACCAACCAAACGAAGAAGCAUAAAAUCUCCACAAACAUAAGGAAUCUGCAUGGUUAAAUUUCUUCUCCAAAGUCGCCUGCACCCCAAUUCCAUGUGGCUCUGCCUUCGGUAGGCACCCGUUAGACGCCUCUGCUCUCCCCUUCCGGGGAGAGUAACAGAAUCCCCCGUCUGCUGAGCCGCUUGUGCAUUUCGUGGGAAGCGUAGGAUGCUGUGACCUCCUUCAGAAUUCUGUACUAACUUUUUACGGGGGAAGCCUCCUGCUUCCAAUGUCUAGAACUGUGGAAUCUCUAAAUAUGCUUUCUUUUUUUGUCACGGUCUUCCUCUUUCCAGUUUCUUAACAUGGUUUUGGUUUCACUCCUCAGUCUUUCUCUUCGGUUUUGCCUGCGACUUCUGCUGUACAAAUUUAAUCGUAAGAACAGCCAGACUUCUGUAGCACUGACUCUGCCAGCACUCAGCCAGCCUCACGGCCUCUCUCUGUGGGAGGGUCAUGACUGUCGUCUCCAUCUUCAAAGUGAGAGAUGGAGUCAGGGAGGUUAGACACCCGGCUCCAGGGGGCAGCACUGAGCAGCGCAGAGCCCUGACUCCAUGGCAGCCCGCUGCUUCCAAAUCCUGCUUCUGCCUGCCCCGCAGCGCUCCCACCUACCCGCUUCCCUCUGGAGGGUGUUGUCCUCUGUGCCUUUGGUCCUGGGUCAUUUUAUCCCCCCGUGUUUAGAGUCUUCAAUUCUCAUAAAAAAACAGAAAUAAGUGCUAAAAUAUUUGGAAGCCCUUUUUAACUUUUCUGGGGUGAGAUAUUUUCCAGCUCUAUCACCAUGGACUUAACAGUCCCCGAACCCCAGGAGCCUCCCUGAUGUGCAAUCCGGGGAUUUUAAUAACCGCCCUGCGCUGUUAUCAUGACAGCAGAUAUUACACAAGCACAGCGGGGCCCAUUCAUCCAGCUGCUGCGAUGGGCCUUCCUACUCGGCUCCCUAACUCCAGAAUCUUAAUGGUCAGUGAGGGUCCAUCCAGUCCAAGAAUCUAUUUAUUAGUACCUGGAGAGGAUCUUGAUUUUAGAACUUUGGGAAUACAAAAUUUUUUUUUGAGAAUCAUCACGUUCUCUGUUUAAUUACAUACAGGUUCUUAUUCAUAAAAUACACCUAUCAGUUUAUCGCCUCGGCUCCAAGUUCACUCUCCAGUACCCGCUCUGGGAUAUCGGCAGGGCGCUUUUCGGUCCUGGUGACUCCUGGGAACAUGGAUGCUCACAUUCCUUCACCCUGUGACCCCUCCUGUGUAGGACACUGCAGGAUGCAGCUCCUCUUCAUGAAACCAGUUUCUUAACCUUUUGCAGUGUCAGAAAUGCUGGAAAAGAAAGCCAUAAAAUUAUGGUGAUAGUCAGUGGAAGACAGUGAGACAUUUUAAAAUCCAUAGUUCCUGAAGGACAAAUCAUGAAUGUCCAUGCAUUCGAGCUCUCUGUUGACUGAGAAUGGCUAUUUAUCUCCCACAGGGAGGAGCCGGUGAGGAGCCACGGAGAGUGGAGAAUAAGCCUUAG